rnacentral:rRNA from 1 species
GAUGAACGCUGGCGGCGUGCCUAAUACAUGCAAGUCGAGCGAACAGACGAGGAGCUUGCUCCUCUGACGUUAGCGGCGGACGGGUGAGUAACACGUGGAUAACCUACCUAUAAGACUGGGAUAACUUCGGGAAACCGGAGCUAAUACCGGAUAAUAUAUUGAACCGCAUGGUUCAAUAGUUAAAGACGGUUUUGCUGUCACUUAUAGAUGGAUCCGCGCCGCAUUAGCUAGUUGGUAAGGUAACGGCUUACCAAGGCGACGAUGCGUAGCCGACCUGAGAGGGUGAUCGGCCACACUGGAACUGAGACACGGUCCAGACUCCUACGGGAGGCAGCAGUAGGGAAUAUUCGGCAAUGGGCGAAAGCCUGACGGAGCAACGCCGCGUGAGUGAUGAAGGUCUUCGGAUCGUAAAACUCUGUUAUUAGGGAAGAACAAAUGUGUAAGUAACUAUGCACGUCUUGACGGUACCUAAUCAGAAAGCCACGGCUAACUACGUG